rnacentral:rRNA from 1 species
GAUGAACGCUGGCGGCGUGCCUAACACAUGCAAGUCGAACGAACCCGAUCUGAAUUCUUCGGAUGACGGAGAGGGUUAGUGGCGGAUGGGUGAGUAAUACGUAGGUGACCUACCCCGAUGAGGGGGAUAACCAUUGGAAACGAUGGCUAAUACCCCGUGUGGUCGGCAAUUCGGUUUGCCGAUUAAAGCUUUGGCGUGUCGGGAGGGGCCUGCGGCCCAUCAGGUAGUUGGUAGGGUAACGGCCUACCAAGCCGAUGACGGGUAGCUGAUCUGAGAGGAUGGUCAGCCACACUGGAACUGAAACACGGUCCAGACUCCUACGGGAGGCAGCAGUGAGGAAUAUUGCGCAAUGGAUGAAAAUCUGACGCAGCAACGCCGCGUGGGCGAAGAAGGCCUUCGGUUGUAAGCCUUUCUGAGGGAAGAGGAAGGACGGUACCUCAGGAAUAAGUCUCGGCUAACUACGUG